rfam:TPA: Bos taurus chromosome 3, whole genome shotgun sequence.
ACCCUACUGGCUCAGACGGUAAAGCGUCUGCCUGCAAUGCAGGAGACCGGGGUUCGAUUCUUGGGUCGGGAA